rnacentral:ncRNA from 1 species
ACGCAAGUAGAGAGGAAGGUGGGGGAUCGACGUCAAAUCAUCACGGCCCUUACGCCUUGGGCCACACACGUAAUACAAUGGCCGGUACAGAGGGCAGCUACACAGCGAUGUGAUGCGAAUCUCGAAAGCCGGUCUCAGUUCGGAUUGGAGUCUGCAACUCGACUCUAUGAAGCUGGAAUCGCUAGUAAUCGCGCAUCAGCCAUGGCGCGGUGAAUACGUUCCCGGGCCUUGUACACACCGCCCGUCAAGCCAUGGAAGUCUGGGGUACCUGAAGUCGGUGACCGUAAAAGGAGCUGCCUAGGGUAAAACAGGUAACUAGGGCUAAGUCGUAACAAGGUAGCCGUACCGGAAGGUGCGGCUGGAACAUCUCAUUU